rnacentral:rRNA from 1 species
CUCUACGGGAGGCAGCAGUGGGGAAUAUUGCACAAUGGGCGCAAGCCUGAUGCAGCCAUGCCGCGUGUGUGAAGAAGGCCUUCGGGUUGUAAAGCACUUUCAGCGAGGAGGAAAGCUUAAGCGUUAAUAGCGUUUAGGUGUGACGUUACUCGCAGAAGAAGGACCGGCUAACUUCGUGCCAGCAGCCGCGGUAAUACGAGGGGUCCAAGCGUUAAUCGGAAUUACUGGGCGUAAAGCGUACGCAGGCGGUUUGUUAAGCGAGAUGUGAAAGCCCCGGGCUCAACCUGGGAACUGCAUUUCGAACUGGCAAACUAGAGUCUUGUAGAGGGGGGUAGAAUUUCAGGUGUAGCGGUGAAAUGCGUAGAGAUCUGAAGGAAUACCGGUGGCGAAGGCGGCCCCCUGGACAAAGACUGACGCUCAUGUACGAAAGCGUGGGGAGCAAACAGGAUUAGAUACCCUGGUAGUCCACGCCGUAAACGAUGUCUACUCGGAAUUUGGUGUCUUGAACACUGGGUUCUCAAGCUAACGCAUUAAGUAGACCGCCUGGGGAGUACGGCCGCAAGGUUAAAACUCAAAUGAAUUGACGG